AUCCUUUUGUGGUUCAUAAGCAUGAUGAUUGGGUUUUCAUGCUCAUGUGUGAGAUAUGCCUCUCUCAAGCCUUGUUAUGACAUCACAUUACCUGUCUGAUG
rfam:Pan troglodytes isolate Yerkes chimp pedigree #C0471 (Clint) chromosome 2A, whole genome shotgun sequence.